rnacentral:rRNA from 1 species
AUUGAACGCUGGCGGCAUGCCUUACACAUGCAAGUCGAACGGUAACAGGUCUUCGGAUGCUGACGAGUGGCGAACGGGUGAGUAAUACAUCGGAACGUGCCUAGUAGUGGGGGAUAACUACUCGAAAGAGUGGCUAAUACCGCAUGAGAUCUACGGAUGAAAGCAGGGGAUCGCAAGACCUUGUGCUACUAGAGCGGCCGAUGGCAGAGUAGGUAGUGGGUGGGAUAAAAGCUUACCAAGCCGACGACCUGUAGCUGGUCUGAGAGGACGGUCAGCCACACUGGGACUGAGACACGGCCCAGACUCCUACGGGAGGCAGCAGUGGGGAAUUUUGGACAAUGGGCGCAAGCCUGAUCCAGCAAUGCCGCGUGCAGGAUGAAGGCCUUCGGGUUGUAAACUGCUUUUGUACGGAACGAAAAGCCCUGGGUUAAUACCCUGGGGUCAUGACGGUACCGUAAGAAUAAGCACCGGCUAACUACGUGCCAGCAGCCGCCGUAA